rnacentral:lncRNA from 1 species
UAUUUUGGUGUGUUUAUUCUAGUAGAACGGCCAACUAAAUUGAGCUCUUUUCUCGUAAACCUAUUGAAGCGGUUUUCUGAAGAUAGUUCUCCGAGAACACUCUUCUUUUCUUAUUAUCAAGGAGAGGCAGCUUAUGUGGAAGCUCUUCAAGUCCCAUAAGCUUGGCGAUAAUGCUUUGUGUAUGCUGCUUCCCCUCCAUCUAAAUCAGGCACUCUGAUUACAACUGUUUUAGUUCUCCAAAUUAUAUAUUUUUACAAGUGCAUUUCUUCAAAAUAAGGCACCAAUUGAUGUCAUCUGCACAAAGACAUAUUACCAUUUUUAGGCAAAAAGAAAUGCAUACGUGGUUCAUUAACAACAUUUGAACCAGAAACAUCAUUUGAAAUGAAUUAAUCCCCUCAAAAAGAAAGAAAAAUAAAAAGAAGAAAACAGAAAAAGCCUUCAAUUUUUUAGUAGAAGAUAAGUGUUACACAUAUAAAGGAAAUAUAGCGCAAUCUAAAUUCUGAUUUACCUCCAUCAUAAUCGAGAAGAGGAGGAUAAAUUCAAAGAAUGAAAAGGCCCAAUCUCAAAGUUAUCAUGAAAGAUCAUAACCAAGGUCUCGGUUGGAGCCCUAGAAUGAAGAAAAUUAUGUUGGAAGCGCAUCCUGAAAUGGAGCUUGCAGUGUCCGAUUUAGAUAUAUUCAAGUUAUAAUAUGAAGAUCAGAUACCAAUAGUAAACCAAAAAAACCCAUAAAAUUGAAUUCUAAAACACCGUAAAAGAAUCAUUUUAUCAUCUCUAUAAAAAGCUCUAAUUAAUUUCCCUUUUUUUUACUUAUCCAUACACCAAAAUUCAGCAAAGUGAAAAAUAGCCAUCCAGAUUGAUGAGAUCCAACAAAUUAAAAAACUCAAAUAGGAAAUAUGAUUAACCUUGAUUGAAGAUCCUACUCCUUGUUAUACGAAACUAAAUUGAUAAUGCAAUGAUAACAUCAAAUACUUUUAUUCCAUAAUCUCUAACAUCAACCUUGAUUUGAAAUAAGAAAUCAAUUUUUUUCCCCUUUUUUUGAUUAGUAUAUGCAUAAAAAAUGGCUGAAAAUG